CUGAACCAGCGACGCCCUCCAUUCACUCUCCGCGCCCGCUUUCCGGCUGUCCGCCCGUUCCGCUGCCCGCCCCGCCACCAUGACGGAACAGGCCAUCUCCUUCGCGAAGGACUUCUUGGCCGGAGGCAUCGCCGCCGCCAUCUCCAAGACGGCCGUGGCUCCGAUCGAGCGGGUCAAGCUGCUGCUGCAGCAGGGCGGAAUGUCCCAGCGCUUCUAGAGGCCCAGGGAGGAUCACCUGAGCUCAGGAGUUUGAGAGCAGGUUGGUCAUCGUAGCAAGACUCCAUCUCUAAAAGUCCAGCACGCCAGCAAGCAGAUCGCUGCCGACAAGCAGUACAAGGGCAUCGUGGACUGCAUCGUCCGCAUCCCCAAGGAGCAGGGCGUGCUGUCCUUCUGGAGGGGCAACCUGGCCAACGUCAUCCGCUACUUCCCCACUCAAGCCCUCAACUUCGCCUUCAAGGAUAAGUACAAGCAGAUCUUCCUGGGGGGCGUGGACAAGCACACGCAGUUCUGGAGGUACUUUGCGGGCAACCUGGCCUCCGGCGGCGCGGCCGGCGCGACCUCCCUCUGCUUCGUGUACCCGCUGGAUUUCGCCAGAACCCGCCUGGCAGCGGACGUGGGAAAGUCAGGCACAGAGCGCGAGUUCCGAGGCCUGGGAGACUGCCUGGUGAAGAUCACCAAGUCCGACGGCAUCCGGGGCCUGUACCAGGGCUUCAGCGUCUCCGUGCAGGGUAUCAUCAUCUACCGGGCGGCCUACUUCGGCGUGUACGAUACGGCCAAGGGCAUGCUCCCCGACCCCAAGAACACGCACAUCGUGGUGAGCUGGAUGAUCGCGCAGACCGUGACAGCCGUGGCCG
rnacentral:sRNA from 1 species